rnacentral:rRNA from 1 species
UACGAAGGGGGCAAGCGUUGUUCGGAAUUACUGGGCGUAAAGGGCGCGUAGGCGGCCUGUUAAGUCGAACGUGAAAUCCCCGGGCUCAACCCGGGAACUGCGUCCGAUACUGGCAGGCUUGAAUUCGGGAGAGGGAUGCGGAAUUCCAGGUGUAGCGGUGAAAUGCGUAGAUAUCUGGAGGAACACCGGUGGCGAAGGCGGCAUCAUGGACCGAGAUUGACGCUGAGGCGCGAAAGCCAGGGGAGCAAACGGG